rnacentral:snoRNA from 1 species
CUGCAUGGCUGUUACAACUACCUUCUCUGCUGUGAGGCGUGUGGACAAUUCAGUCAUGCAACAGCAAACCAGCAGAGUUAACAGGGCCACCAGUCUCUCGAGAUCAGGCUGAGUUGGUAGUAUAAUACUCUGACAAGC